rnacentral:rRNA from 1 species
GAUCGAGUUUGAUCCUGGCUCAGAUUGAACGCUGGCGGAAUGCUUUACACAUGCAAGUCGAACGGUAGAGGGGGCAACCCCUCGAGAGUGGCGAACGGGUGAGUAAUAUAUCGGAACGUGCCCAGUCGUGGGGGAUAACGUAGUGAAAUUACGCUAAUACCGCAUACGAUCUAAGGAUGAAAGCGGGGAUCGCAAGACCUCGCGCGACUGGAGCGGCCGAUAUCAGAUUAGGUAGUUGGUAGGGUAAAGGCCUACCAAGCCAACGAUCUGUAGCUGGUCUGAGAGGACGACCAGCCACACUGGAACUGAGACACGGUCCAGACUCCUACGGGUGCAGCAGUUUCGAAUCGUUCACAAUGGGGGCAACCCUGAUGGCGCGA